UAUGAGNCGCAGCCUACCAUGCAAGUCGAGCGGUAGCACAGGGAGCUUGCUCCUGGGUGACGAGCGGCGGACGGGUGAGUAAUGUGUGUGGAAACUGCCUGAUGGAGGGGGAUAUCUACUGGAGACGGUAGCUAAUACCGCAUAAUGUCUACGGACCAAAGUGGGGGACCUUCGGGCCUCUUGCCAUCAGAUGUGCGCAGAUGGGAUUAGCUAGUAGGUGGGGGAAUGGCUCACCUAUGCGACGAUCCCUAGCUGGUCUGAGAGGAKGMCCACCCMMMCUGKAACUGAGACMCGGUCCWSACUCCUACGGGAGGCAGCAGUGGGGAAUAUUGCACAAUGGGCGCAWGMCUGAUGCAKCCAUGCCGCGUGUGUGAAGAAUGCCUUCKGGUUUGUAAAGCACUUUCAGCGAGGAGGAAGGGUARUGUGUUAAUAGCACAUUGCAUUGACGYUACUCRCAGAARAAGCACCGGCUAWCUCCGUGCCASCAGCCGCGGUAAUACGGAGGGUGCAAGCGUUAAUCKGAAUUACUGGGCGUAAAGCGCACGCAGGCGUGUUUGUUAAGUCASAUGUGAAAUCCCCGCGCUUAACGUGGGAACUGYA
rnacentral:rRNA from 1 species